rnacentral:tRNA from 1 species
GCCGUUGUAGCGUAACGGAAGCGCGGGCGUCUCAUCAACGCAGGGUUGGAGGUUCAAAUCCUCCCAACGGCACCA